rnacentral:rRNA from 1 species
GAUGAACGCUAGCGGCAGGCCUAAUACAUGCAAGUCGAACGGUGUAGCAAUACACAGUGGCGCACGGGUGCGUAACACGUAUGCAACCUACCUAUCAUUGGGGGAUAGCCUUUGGAAACGGAGAUUAAUACCGCAUAAGACAGUAACAUGGCAUCAUGUAGCUGUUAAAGCUUUUGCGAUGAUAGAUGGGCAUGCGUCCAAUUAGUUAGUUGGUGAGGUAACGGCUCACCAAGACGAUGAUUGGUAGGGGAUCUGAGAGGACAAUCCCCCACACUGGCACUGAGAUACGGGCCAGACUCCUACGGGAGGCAGCAGUAGGGAAUAUUGGGCAAUGGACGGAAGUCUGACCCAGCCAUGCCGCGUGCAGGAAGAAGGCGUUAUGCGUUGUAAACUGCUUUUUUAUAGGAAGAAGGAGACCUUGCGAGGUUUGGUGACGGUACUAUAAGAAUAAGCACCGGCUAACUCCGUGCCAGCAGCCGCGGUAAAAC